CAUCAACGAUUCAGCCUCAAAUGGGUUCCAGAUUUAAUCCUUCAUCAAAACAAAACAAUACCCACUUUAUAAAUAUUCAAAAACAUAGAUUUGAAUUGACCCAACUCCUUCGACGGUUGACAAUGGUGCUUCUAAUCUAACCAGCUUAAUAUUUAAUCAAAACACACCAAACUGUACGGAUUGAGUCACGAUUUCGCCGUCAUCACUUUUAUCGGUAGACUUUCAUCACUUUCAGUGGAACGACGACGACAACCACUUUUUUCGGGCCAAGCUUCGUCAUCACGAGGUGGGGUUCGGAAGGGGCGCGGUUUGCAGAGGUUGCCGGUGGAACGACGGCGGAAUAUGCAGCUGUUUGUUGUUGUUGCCCAUGUAGGCUCGUGAACCUCCUUGUGCUAACUGGGUAUAAUUUGUUGGCGGUACUUUGCCGUAAAUACCUAUCUCGGCUGAUGAAGAAAUGGCUUUUGGUGCGGUAUGAAGAACGAAGCUUACUUGUGUAUAUUUUUGGUGGUCAUUUGGGCACAACGACGUAGCUAUUGUGGGGACUUUAUGGUUAACUGCAUCCUAUGUUGCAAUCCGCAGUACACGGAGUCUCUUUCAUAUUCAUUUAUGUUAUCCUGUCUAUUUUACAUUCAGAGAAAUGUAUUUGUAUUGUAUUUCUUACUAGUUUCUCAUGCACUUGUGACAUCGGAUUUUGGGAUACUCUAGUAGGUGUUUAUGGUUUGGCUUA